UGAUUAACAUAAAUAUUAAGCGUGUCUGGACAGAAACAUCACAACUAUAUGUCUUAAACCAUUUUCUUGAAAGCAGUAAUUUAACUUUGAAAUCUCAUAAAAAUGAAGCCUGUAGUACUAGUUCUUCUGGUAUGUCUCGCGAGUCUCGUAGCUGUUUCAGAAGGUUGUUGUAGAACGUGGAAUGGCGCAUGCGAUCAUGAUAGCGAUUGCUGCAAAGAUUAUACUUGCGAAAUCGAUGAAAAACGACAACACGCAUUAUUAUGCAAGCCAGUACCGGGAACAAAAAAGAAAUGAAUUAAAAGAAUACAUAUCCAGUUUAAAAAGGCAGAUCCAGUACAAAAUAAAAAUGUGUAACAGACA